AGAAGAUCUGAUUUCUGGAUUUUUCGGCUCAAAUCAGCAGAGGUCGACUCAUGAGUCGACUCAUGCCUUGUGGGUCGACUCAUGAGUCGACUCACAGGUCGUGCCAAGCCAAAAAUCCAACGUGCCAUGGGAAUUUUUUUCGUGCCAUUCAGCUCAUAGUGCCAUGAGUUGACUCAUGAGUCGACUCAUGCACUUCAAACCUUCAUAACUUCAAAAAUAUAAGUCCAAACACAAUGAAAUUUUUACCAAUAGAUUUCAAAUCAUUUGUUCUACCAAAUGGUACUAUCAAAUCAGGAUUUUAGUGAAAUUACAAUUUUGCCCUUGAAGAGCAUAAGGACUUUUUCAAUUGUUU
rnacentral:lncRNA from 1 species